rnacentral:lncRNA from 1 species
CUACUUCAGAUUAGAGAAACAAGUUUCUUAUUUUAUUGAUUUUCUUACCACUUUGAUAUGGUUAGGUGUAAAGUAGAAAUAAACCUCCAAAGCUUGAAUUAUAUUUAUGUAGAUUAUCUAAAAUAGUCACACACCACAUGCAUGAAAUUACAAAUGUGAAUAAUUUGCUUUACCAGGAGGACUCUUUAUUUUUAUGAUUCUUUCAUAGUCAGAAUUAUUUAUUAAAUUUAUAAAUAUGUUGAUAUUUUAUUUUGUGUUAUUUUUAUAAGCUUUCUGAGAGCAUAUAUAGUUUCAUAAAGUGAAAAAUAAUGGACCAGCAGCAACGGAAACAUUUCAUGUUCCAAUGCAAAAAAUUAUCUGUACUCAAAAUCCUAAUCAGUAACAAUUUUUUUCUAACAUCUAAAUAGUUUUUUUCUAACAUCUAAGUAGAUUAUCUCAAUGGUAUAUAAUAGAAAACAAUAUAAAUGUAUUUGUAUUUACUAUCUGUUAGAUUUUUAAAAGAUAAAGGUAUGGUAACAGCUAAUGUUCAUAUAAAACUCAGCAUUUUAAUGGAACACUUUCCCAUAUAAAGGACAAAUCUACACAUUAUAUGAACAUUUUCAAAAUUUGAGCCUUGGAAUGUAAAAUUACAAUGUUAUACAUUAUAGUAAUAUUUUGUAAAAGUCAUAAAAAGAAUCCACACAAUAUUGUGUAUAUACAAAAUUUCACAUGGAAAUUUGUGCUUAUAAAUGACUAUAAUUUACUUUAAAAAAAUGCCAACCUUUCAGGAAUACACUGUGUAUACAGGGAGCAGAGUAUUAAUACCCAAAAUGUCCUGAGAUAUACUUCACAUCCCAUCCAGGAUUUUAAACGCUAAGAUCAACAGAAUUGGUUUUAUUCAACAUGCUCAGCUUCCCAGGAACUUGUUUCUUUUUAAAAAAAAAUGUGGUAAAAGACACUUAACAUAAAAUGUACCUUCUUAGUCAUUUUAAAGUGUAGAGUUCAGUAGUGUUUAGUAUAUUCACAUUGUUGUUGCAAGUAAUCUCAAGAACUACUGCAGAUGCCUCAUAUGUGUGGACUCACAAGCUAUUUUUCUUUCUGCAACUGGCUUACCUCACUUAGAAUAGUGUCCUCAAGUUUCAUCUAUGUUGUCAAAUGUGUUAGAAUGUCGUCUUUUAAGGCUGAAUAAUAUUCCAUUGUAUGUGUAUAUCACAUUUUAUGCAUUCAUACAUCGAUAGAUCUCGGGUGGAUUUUAUAUCUUGGUUACUGUGAAUAUUGCUGCUGUGAACACUGGUGUGUAAAUAUCACUUUGAGAUCUUAUUUUCAAUUAUGUUUCAUGUAUAACCAGAAGUAGAAUUGCUGCAUCAUUUUGGUCUUCAAUUUUUAAUGUUUUGAAGAACUGUUUUUAUAGUACCUGUACCAGUUUAUAUUACGGGCAAAAGUGCACAAAGUUUCCAAUUCCUUCACAUCUUAUCAGCACUUUUUUUUUUCUUUUUUUGAGAGACAGUCUCCCUCUAUUGCCCAGACUGGAGUGCAGUGGUGCAAUCUUGGCUCAUUGCAACCUCCACCUCCUGGGUUCAAGCGAUCCUCCUGCCUCAGCCUCCUGAAUAGCUGGGACAACAGGUGUGCACCACCACGCCUGGCUAGUUUUUUUGUAUUUUUAGUAGAGACAGGGUUUCACCAUAUUGGCCAGGCUGGUCUUGAACUCCUGACCUUGUGAUCUGCCCGCCUCAGCCGCCCAAAGUGCUGGGAUUACAGGCGUGAGCCACUGUGCCUGGCCCACUUUUUUUUUUUUUUUUAAGAGUAGCUGUCCUAAUAGGUGUGAGGUGGUAGUUCAGUGUGCUUUUGAUCUGUGGUUCCCUAGUGUUGAAUUAUGUCCAGCAGUUUUCUGUAUGCUUGCAUCUGGCCCCCAUGCAUUUAUCGAAUUUGGAAAAUUUCUCAUUCUUGCUUUUAAUCUCAGAUAUGUAAUUGAAAUUUUUUUUCUCUCUUUCACUCCUAUAUGGAGAACAGUUUUCAGCCUCCAACAUACUUACUUUUUUCAUCCCACCAAUAUUUCUAUUUAGAUGAGCUUGAAUUUUCUCCGUAUUAAAAACAGCUCAUUUGAAUGCAUCAUUUUAUUUUCUUCAGUUGUAUGUUUAUUAUAUAAAAAAUUUAAAAUCAGAAGUAUUUGCAUAAUUAUUUUCUUCCUCAAUAGAAUUGUGUAGUUAUGGCUUCAGAUUUAGUGUUUAUUUAAUAAUGUGAUAAUUGUUAAUUUCCUCACCAAAAGCCAGUUCCCUCAUGCAUCAUAGAAAGCUAUGUCUACUCAUCACCUACCAUUUCUCCCAGAGAUAAUGUGACAUAAUUUUAGUUCUUUUUGGAUUGAGCUUGGGCCUUUUGCCAAGUUUCUUCUUCUUCAUUAAUAUUAUCACAAUCCCUCUCCUCAGAAAAGAACAAUGUGCAAUUUCUACUGGAAAUUUGAAUUAUGCCAUUCCUAAUCACUUGUCUGUCUCCAUCUCUCCUGGGGUUAAUCAAUAGAAUAUAUAUAUAUAUACACACACACAUAUGUGUGUGUGUGUAUAUCUUAUAACUUUAGCUUUUCUUUUUAUCUCUUGAAAAUAUUUUUGAAAAACUUAGACUUGAAAAAAAUGUUUUACUGUUAUGAGUUACCAUAAAAAACUAAAUUUCCAAAUUUCUGAGUACACUUUUCCCCUUUCAUCAAUGUAGAUUUUAAAAAUGUUACUUUUUGUGUACCACAUAUGUCAUUUUGUAACGUCAUAUUUGGAGACUAUUUACUAUUGCCUCAUACAAAAUUAUAUCAAUGUAAUGAUUUUUAGUCUUUUACAUUUUAUUUUAUCAUCAUGAAAACAUCUGCAUUGGCAGAACAUGUAUUACUAAUUUAGAAAAGCAAAUUUUGUAGACCUACAUGAUUCCUUCAAGAUUUUGUGUGUGUGUGUGUGUACAUAUAUAUAGAGAAACUUGCCAGUCAAUAAAAGAGACCAUGGCAAAACAAAUAUUUCAAAUCAAUCUUGUGCAUAUGUGUGAGUGUGUGUGUGUGUGUGUGUGUGUACGUUAGUUUUUCCUAGAUUGCACUGACAUCAUCAUGCUGGUAAUGAAAUAUACUUCCCUAUAUAUAUAUAAAUCAUAAAGAAAAAAUAAACAUAGGUAGAAUUUGUACAACUGGAUAUCUCAGUUUAAAAAACAUUACUGGUUUCUGUUGUAGGGGUUUUAUAUCUGUUUCUGUAUAUAUGUAUAAAAGUAUAUAUUGAUAUAAUCCAAAAUGACUUCCUUCACAAUAGUAAGCUUUAGAACUACUGUAUAGAAAUUUUAUUUAUUUAAUUAGCUUAUAUAUACUGAAUAUGAUUAACGAAGCAAACAAAACAGAAAAAAACAACUACUGUGGAUUAGAAAUUUCUUAUUAAAGUUAGAGUCACUAAUAGACUCCCAUGAGUACAAUUAAAUGUAAAAGAAGUCAGUUGUACAUAUAUAUAUAUAGCCAAAGUGGUAGCUGAUAGGCGAAGACUGGUUAGGAAAAUAAUGAAAGCUGGUUCUUUCAGAAAUGCCACAGUAAGUAGCAUGCAUAUUUCCCUACCAAUCUCCUACAGAGUUAGCAGAUUAUGUGGGACGAAAUAUAUCUUCUGUAUUCCUAGCUGAAAAUUAAUGGAAAAAUAAAUCUGUAAUCAUCACAUAUUAACUUUAAAAAGCAAAUAGUCUUAGUGCUAUGCUAAAUGAAUGUUAGUAUACAGAAUUCAAAUUUAAUGUAUUUUCAAAAUUAGCCUGUCUGUAGUUUUCUACAUAAAAAAUAUUAACAGAAAUGACAUAAAUCAUCAAAUGAUCUUGGUUUUAAUUAAUUUCAAUGAUUCUCUAUAAACAUAUGAUUAUAAAUGCACUGAACCAUCAUUAUAAAAUAAUUUCUAUACCAUGAAGUACCAUGAGGGUUAAGGAUUAAAUAAUAGCCCCAUUAACUGUAUUAAGAUUUAAUAUCUGUAAUUCUCACUUUUGGUCUAUCUAUCAUCUAUCUUCUUGUUAUUUUCUCAGUUCUUUCAAAUAAGACUUUUGUUAUGAAUCAACUAAAAUUCAACUGAAUAAUCACAUCACAUGCAAUUAUGUUUUAUAUAUAACAUAAUAACAUUUUAAUAUUAAUUUGUUUGUAGCUAAAUAAAACACUUAUUUAUUGUCUGUAUCAAUAAGUAUGUUACAAGCUAGGGUUCAAGAAAAAACUUAAGCAUUUCUUUUUAAAAAAAUGUGUGAAUAUGAAGUUAGGUUUUCUCAAUCCCAGAGAAAACAAUGGGAGGAUUCCUUAAGAAAAAUUGUACUUAUAUUAUUAAUCUGACUCAAACAAUGUAAGCAUGAAUAUGUAAUCUAUAAAAGGGUAGCACUGAGUAGUUUUCAUGAAUUUGAACUCCUAACAAAAUCACCCCUAAAAUUCAUAACGCAAAAAAAAAAAAAAAGAUCAAUUCUAAGUCCUCAGCAUAACCUGCUGCCAGUAUUUGAAACAGCUGAUCACUUUAUCCUUCUAGAAAAACUGCUUUUUCCUUGAUUUUGGGGACGAUUUUGGGGACAUUUCCUUUUCAGAUUUUUAACUUACUACCCUGGUAGAUACUUGUCAGAAUUCUUUGAUGGAUCCUGUUAAUUUUCCCAACUGUUAAAUAUCGUUGAUUCCGUGGACACAGUACUUGCUCCCCUAUUCCCUACCAAAGUUCUCACUGACUUCCUUUUAAAGUACCCUGGAAACUGACAGAUUGGUAGCUUCAACCAGAAAAUUCAGGCACAUAUUUACCACAUUCUUAUGAUUUCUUUUUUUCCUGGAUCCACAAAGAUUGAAACUCGCCACAUGGGGGCACAUUCGUUCACCAUAACUGUGACUAAAAUUGGUGACAUUUUAAUUUGCAGGCAAUUACCUCUACAAACACCUCCCUUCAUUAGAAAUAAAAAUUGAGAUGUUCAAAGCAUCUUACAGGUCAAAGAGCUAAGCCAGAUCCUCACUCAAGCACUCAAGAGUUUUUUUUUUUUUUUUUUCCCGAGAAAAACUCUGGAGGAACAAACAACUUUGAACAUUUUCCCACUGAAGUCCUGGCGUUUUGGCGCUGACAGCGUUAACUUCUACACGGAAGCUGCCCCUCCGCCCUCCAGAAGGAAAGAGGACCCGUAUGGGAGCCGCAGAGAAGCACCUAGAACCCUGGGGCCUGAGGGCCGGCUGGAGGCAACACAGGGCUGAACCCCUGUCAGCCUGCCGGGGGACGCGGUGCCCGCCCUCCGGCAUCCGGGAAACACAGCGUCCCAGCCGGCGCCUGCGCAGGUGCCACACUUCCUGGUCCUCUCUGGCUGCGUCUGAGGGCCUUAGCUCUGGCCAGGGGCGCUGCAACGGGCUCAGCCUUCUAGGGGUGGCGGGUGAAGGCCUACACCUGCCCCAGGACGGCCAGGUCCACCAGCACCUGCAACAGACGGAGAACUGAAGGAGCAUCUUGAAGCUGUGGCUGUCUUGAAGGUGUCGCCGCUUGUCCUCACGAGCACCAUUUUGAUUCUCGUGCCCUGUGUGCAUGGGUGGCCAGCGUUGCUGGUAGGGCUCCUGCACGCUCAGAGUGGCCUUGGCCAGGAAGUCCAGGGUUUCCGCAGGCAGAGUGUAUGAACAAGGUACUGAGAAGAUCACAUACUGCAUGUCCUCCUAAAACCUGGUCCUGGCAUAACCUUCUAAGCUGUUUUAUUCAGGUGUUUAUGGAUUUUGUAUUUGCCCAUGUUUAAUGAGCUUUACAACACUUCCAUCAGAGAACAUCACUUGCGCCAAGCAAACAAUCACUGGAACAUUUAUUACAGUGUUUUACAUUGCAAUUAACCUCACAAAAUUGUAAAAUGUGAAUAAAAAAGGAAAGUUAGUGUUCCUUGAUUAGCUUUUAAAUCACAUAUAAUAAUACUUUUUGAAUGUUCCCUAUUCAGAGAAACAAUAAGCAGAAAAAUGUAUAAAAAAAUUAUUUAGGUUCUUGUUUGAAAAAUAAUAAAAUAAAUUAUUACAAUGAAACCUUUUUAUUAUUUUUUCACUUAACUGAUUUUAUGCUUCUAAAACAAAAUAUUGAGUAGUACACAAGUGUUAAAUCUUAAGUUGUGGAUAUAGAAUAAGUUAUGAAUUAGCUAUCCAUUGCUGCAAAAUGAAAGACCCCAAAAUUUGACUUAAAAUAGCAAAUAUUUAUUAUGCACAGAUUAUGGGUGUUAGGAAUCCAGGUGUACCUCGGCUGGAUGUUUCUGACUCAGGGUCAUGGUAAGGUUGCAGACAUGGCUUCAGCUGGGACUGCAUCUGAAGACACAUUUACUCACUGGCCUGGUGGUUGAUGCCUCAGUUUGCUGCCUUGAGCUGUCUCCAUAGGGAUGCCUUGAGUGUUCUGAAGACACGGUGGUUGCUUUCCCCAAAGUGAAUAAUGAGAGAGAGAACAAAACAGAGAGAGAGAGAGACAGGGAGACAGAGAAACAAGAUGGGAACUUCAGGCUUCAAAAUCUAAUCUGAGAGGUGACAUAGACCACCUCUCAGUUUUAUUAGAGUAUGUUUAGAAUAGACACUUAACUAUGAUUGAGCAAAGAUGUGGUCAUAACACCUGGCAAUAUAUCACUUUGCCUCCAUUUGCUUUGUCUAUUUGUAUCACGCAAUCCAUUUAUUUACCUUGAACUAAAAAUAAUAACAGAAUAUAGACUCAGUUUAAAUGUGACAUUUAUCAGGAAUGGAUUAAUUUACUAAAUCUUCUUGGCUAGUGAAGUGAGCUUGCUUUCUUCAAUAGUGUGUUUUAAAGUAGUUUUUAUUUUAGUGAAAUAUAUGUGGCAUAAAAUUGCCAUUUAACUAUUUUUAAGCACAGUUCAGUGGUAUUAAUUAUAUUCACAAUGUUGUGCAACCAUCACCACUAUCUAUGUACAAAAUGUUUAUAUUACUCCAAACAGAAACACUAUAACAUUAAGCAAUAACUCCCCAUUCCCUGUUCCUUCAGACCCUAGUAAGCUCUAAACUUCUAUGAACUGGCCAUUUAAAAUAUUUCCUAUACAUAGAAUUAUAUUUGUCCUAUUGUGUCUAGCUUCACUUAGCAUAAUGUUUUUAAAGAUCAUCCAUGUUGCAACAUGUAUCAGAAUCUAAUUUUUUUUAUUGUUGAAUGCUAUUCCAUUGUGCAUACAUACUACACUUUAUUUAUCCAUUCAUCUGUUGUUUCCAGUUUUUGGCUUUUGUGAAUAGUACUAUAAUAAACAUACAAGUGUCUGUUUGAGUCUCUAUUUUCAAUUAUUUCUAGUGUAUAUACCUAUGAGUGGAAUUACUGUGUUAUAUGGUAAUUCUGUUUACUAUUUUUUAACACUGCCAAACUUUUCCACAGAGGUUACACUGUUUUACACUCCCAUCAGCAAUGAAGGAAGUUUCCAACUUCUCCAUAGCUUAAUACUUGUUAUUCCCCAUUUUCAAAAAUUAUUUUCAACCUUGUAAGUAUGGCAUGAUACAUCAGCAAGGUUUUGAUACGCAUUUCCAUAACGACUAAUGAUGUUGAGCAUUUUAAUGUGCUUAUAAGCUAUUUACAUAGCUUCUUUAAAUAAAUGUCUAUUCAAAUACUUUGCCUAUUUUAUAAUUAGAUUGUUAUUGGUGUUGAGUUGAAGGGAUUCUUUGUACAAUCUGGAUGGAUCAUUAUCUCUUAUCAAAUGUAUAAUUUGCAAAUAUUUUCUUUAUUUUGUAAGUUUUUUUUACUUUCUUCCUAAUGUUCUUUAAUUUGCAAAUAUUUUUGUUCAUUUGUUGUCAUUUAUAAAGCCCUAUUUAUUUGUUUUUUUCUUUUGUUGCUCAUGCUUUUGUCAUAUCUAAAAAUCUAUUGUCAAAUUCAAAGUAAUUAAUAUUUACCUCUAUAUUUUCUCCUAACAGUUUAGGGUUAGCUUUUAUAUUUAGGAGAUUGAUGCAUCUUAAGUGAAUUUUCAUAUAUGUUUGAGAUAGGAGUCUAGUUUUAUUAUUUUGCAUGUGAAUAUCCAGUGGUCCU